GUGAGGGAUAUUGGUCAAUGGGCGAGAGCCUGAACCAGCCAAGUCGCGUGAAGGAAGAAGGAUCUAUGGUUCGUAAACUUCUUUUGCAGGGGAAUAAAGUGCAGGACGUGUCCUGUUUUGUAUGUACCCUGAGAAUAAGGAUCGGCUAACUCCGUGCCAGCAGCCGCGGUAAUACGGAGGAUCCGAGCGUUAUCCGGAUUUAUUGGGUUUAAAGGGUGCGUAGGUGGUUUGAUAAGUCAGCGGUGAAAGUUUGCAGCUUAACUGUAAAAAUGCCGUUGAAACUGUCGGACUUGAGUGUAAAUGAGGUAGGCGGAAUGCGUGGUGUAGCGGUGAAAUGCAUAGAUAUCACGCAGAACUCCGAUUGCGAAGGCAGCUUACUAAGCUACAACUGACACUGAAGCACGAAAGCGUGGGGAUCAAACAGGAUUAGAUACCCGAGUAGUCC
rnacentral:rRNA from 1 species